AUGCCAAGUACACAAGUAGGCGAGGACGCCAAGACCUCCGAGACCGACUUCAUGGCGCCAAGUACCAAUACGAACGCGAAUGACUACAACCGAAUUGUACAACUACAUGACGCCCGCCAAGUUCGACGACGCUCGCCACCCGAACGACUACCGCUGACGCGUACCUCUCCGUCGCCGUGGGUUUCGUCAAGUUCAAUGGUGAACCCCGAAGUCCUCGGAUCCGUCAAGUGCAACAACGACUGUGUACUACUAUCGGCGACCUUGAACGACUACGAGACGAGACCCUCUACUUCCCCUCCAAAAUGUGUACCACUACGCCGCCCUAACGUCUAG
rnacentral:rRNA from 1 species